rnacentral:rRNA from 1 species
UAGUCCACGCCGUAAACGAUGAUAACUAGCCGUUGGAUUUAUCCAGUGGCGCAGCUAACGCGUUAAGUUAUCCGCCUGGGGAGUACGGCCGCAAGGCUAAAACUCAAAUGAAUUGACGGGGACCCGCACAAGCGGUGGAGCAUGUGGUUUAAUUCGAUGCAACGCGAAAAAACCUUACCUACACUUGACAUACUUCGAAUUUUCUAGAGAUAGAUUAGUGCCUUCGGGAGCGAAGAUACAGGUGCUGCAUGGCUGUCGUCAGCUCGUGUCGUGAGAUGUUGGGUUAAGUCCUAUAACGAGCGCAACCCUUACCCUUAUUUGCCAGCGGUUAGGCCGGGAACUAUAAGGGAACUGCCGGUAAUAAGCCGGGGGAAGUGGGGACACGUCAAGUCAUCAUGGCCUUACGUGUAGGGGCUACACACGUGCUACAAUGGGGAGAUACAG